GCAAGAUUAAANUCAAAGNAUUGACGGGGACCCGCACAAGCGGUGGAUGAUGUGGAUUAAUUCGAUGCAACGCGAAAAACCUUACCUACCCUUGACAUGUCAGAAACUUGGCAGAGAUGCCUUGGUGCCCGAAAGGGAAUCUGAACACAGGUGCUGCAUGGCUGUCGUCAGCUCGUGUCGUGAGAUGUUGGGUUAAGUCCCGCAACGAGCGCAACCCUUGUCGUUAAUUGCCAUCAUUUAGUUGGGCACUUUAACGAGACUGCCGGUGACAAACCGGAGGAAGGUGGGGAUGACGUCAAGUCCUCAUGGCCCUUAUGGGUAGGGCUUCACACGUCAUACAAUGGUCGGUACAGAGGGUUGCCAAGCCGCGAGGUGGAGCCAAUCCCAGAAAGCCGAUCGUAGUCCGGAUUGCAGGCUGCAACUCGCCUGCAUGAAGUCGGAAUCGCUAGUAAUCGCGGAUCAGCAUGUCGCGGUGAAUACGUUCCCGGGUCUUGUACACACCGCCCGUCACACCAUGGGAGCGGGUUCCGCCAGAAGUAGGUAGCCUAACCGCAAGGGGGGCGCUUACCACGGCGGGGUUCGUGACUGGGGUGAUAGUCGUAACAAGGUAGCCGUAGGGGAACCUGCGGCUGGAUC
rnacentral:rRNA from 1 species